GAAUCGCGAUAAGUAAUGUGAAUUGCAGAUCUCCAGUGAAUCAUCGAAUCUUUGAACGCACCUUGCGCUCCUCGGUGUUCCGAGGAGCAUGCCUGUCUGAGCGUCAC
rnacentral:rRNA from 1 species